rnacentral:rRNA from 1 species
AGACCCGAAACCCGGUGAUCUAGCCAUGGGCAGGUUGAAGGUUGGGUAACACUAACUGGAGGACCGAACCGACUAAUGUUGAAAAAUUAGCGGAUGACUUGUGGCUGGGGGUGAAAGGCCAAUCAAACCGGGAGAUAGCUGGUUCUCCCCGAAAGCUAUUUAGGUAGCGCCUCGUGAAUUCAUCUCCGGGGGUAGAGCACUGUUUCGGCAAGGGGGUCAUCCCGACUUACCAACCCGAUGCAAACUGCGAAUACCGGAGAAUGUUAUCACGGGAGACACACGGCGGGUGCUAACGUCCGUCGUGAAGAGGGAAACAACCCAGACCGCCAGCUAAGGUCCCAAAGUCAUGGUUAAGUGGGAAACGAUGUGGGAAGGCCCAGACAGCCAGGAUGUUGGCUUAGAAGCAGCCAUCAUUUAAAGAAAGCGUAAUAGCUCACUGGUCGAGUCGGCCUGCGCGGAAGAUGUAACGGGGCUAAACCAUGCACCGAAGCUGCGGCAGCGACACUGUGUGUUGUUGGGUAGGGGAGCGUUCUGUAAGCCUGUGAAGGUGUGCUG